rnacentral:rRNA from 1 species
CAUGCAGUCGAACGGCAGCACGGACUUCGGUCUGGUGGCGAGUGGCGAACGGGUGAGUAACAUAUCGGAACGUAUCCAAUAAUGGGGGAUAACUAAUCGAAAGGUUGGCUAAUACCGCAUGCGCCCUACGGGGGAAAGCUAGGGACCUUCGGGCCUGGCGUUAAUGGAGCGGCCGAUAUCUGAUUAGCUAGUUGGUGGGGUAAAGGCCCACCAAGGCGACGAUCAGUAGCUGGUCUGAGAGGACGACCAGCCACACUGGAACUGAGACACGGUCCAGACUCCUACGGGAGGCAGCAGUGGGGAAUUUUGGACAAUGGGCGCAAGCCUGAUCCAGCCAUUCCGCGUGAGUGAAGAAGGCCUUCGGGUUGUAAAGCUCUUUCGCAAGGGAAGAAAACUUAGCCUCUAACAUAGGCUGAGGUUGACGGUACCUUGAUAAGAAGCACCGGCUAACUACGUGCCAGCAGCCGCGGUAAUACGUAGGGUGCGAGCGUUAAUCGGAAUUACUGGGCGUAAAGCGUGCGCAGGCGGUUUUGAAAGUCAGAUGUGAAAUCCCCGAGCUCAACUUGGGAACUGCGUUUGAAACUCCAAAACUCGAAUAUGUCAGAGGGGGGUAGAAUUCCACGUGUAGCAGUGAAAUGCGUAGAGAUGUGGAGGAAUACCAAUGGCGAAGGCAGCCCCCUGGGAUAAUAUUGACGCUCAU